CAACUUAGUUGCGAUUUAUAAAAGGGUCUGCGUCCGCAGACUUCGACAGUAAAAGCCUGUACUUGCAAGGUAUUGUGGGAUAGCUUGAAGAAGUGCAACUGGAUCCAGCAGUCAGAGUUCAAGGCAAGGAAAGAUUACAGACUCAAGCAUGGCAAGGCACAGCAGCAGAGGAAUCUCACCAGUCCCAUUAGAGUGUAAAGUGUAUGUAGGGAACUUGCCAUCAGGAGCCAGUCGCACAGAGCUAGAAGAGGCAUUCAGUCGAUAUGGGCGUGUCAAGAAUGUCUGGGUCGCUAGGAACCCACCUGGUUUCGCUUUUGUUAUGUUUGAAGAUGAACGUGACGCAUCUGAUGCUUGCAAAGCUCUAGAUGACAGAAAUGUCUGUGGAGUUCGAGUUCGAGUGGAGAUGUCCUCUGGCGAAUCGAGGAGGUCUCGUGAUCGUGGUGACCGUGGAGGAGAUCGUGGUCAUCGGGGCGGUGGAGGUUUCAUGGGUGGACGUCGUGGUGGAAUGAGGGAUAAUGAACGAUGCUACGAGUGUGGUCAGAGAGGUCACUUUGCCAGGGACUGUGACAGGAGAGGAAGAUCGCCAGGUGGCUACAGGAGCACCAAGCGUUACUCAAGGGCUCUCCUAGUACGAUCCUCUUGACAACCCACAAUGCUUCUACCAUGAUAACCCUUCAUGUUCAAAGCAACAAUGUCGCACCAUGCCUGCGCUCUCCUUACAUCCAUCACCUCUCUCUCUCCGAUGAGUACAGCAUGGGUGUAAGCAGUCACACAAGUAGGGCCCAGCUCUAUCACUUCUGUGUGCCCGCCCCACCCAUCACGAGCUUCGUCUCUUCCCUAAACCUGCACACACCGGGGCUGCAAAUUCUAGUUAUCAAAAGUUAAAGGCUGCCAAAUAGCUGGUUAAGGGUAGAAAUCAUCCAACAAAGGCCUGUUAUGGACAUGGUUGGGGUCAGCUGGCAGCCUGGCAUCGUACAUCGGUCAAAGCCAGAUCUGCCCUUGGUUUGAAGCCCACCAUUGUCAGCCAAGCUUGGUGAAUCCCAUCACUAGCAUCAUAUGGACAUCUUUUUGAUGAUCAACUAAAUGGUCAGUAAGGUAAAAGAAAGCAACAUGGCUGUUGGGCACCGGAUCAUCAGCCUCUGGUUGCUUCCCUCCCUGAGGCUGCAAGGGUAGUAAAACCAGUCCCCCACAGCGCGCCAGCAAUCUGUUUUUGUCUUCCUGCACAUCUGUAAAUGAUGGUUCUUCUUUUUCCUCAUGUCAACAUUUACAUCAAUGUCAUCUUUCCUUUGCAGCUAUUUUCAAUACAGAUCCUUGUCUAGGUCUCGGUCUCGCAGCCCCCGUCGACGUGUUUCUAGAAGCCCACCUAGGUACAGGAGUCACAGCCGUAGCCGCAGCAGGAGUCGUUCAAGGUCAUAAGGAGUCUGAAGACUUGCUAGGAGAUACACUCAAGCAAAAACCUGGUAUUACAUUAUAUAGUAAAUCCCAAGUGUGGGAAAUUUGUAUCUGUAAAUAGCUUUUAAGUUUGUCUGCUUCAUGUAUAUUUUAAUACAAUGCAAGUAAAGCUUACAAAAAUGAUACAGCCCAAAGCUGUUACAGUUUACAUGUAUAACUUCUUUGGUUGCUGCUUUAGAAAAUACAAAAUCACAUGUAUUAUUCUGCAUGAUUGUUCAAUAAAAUUUGUUUGAUGAAAUACAGAUUUGAAAUCUCCUAACCAUAUGUAGAUCAUGGUAAUCCGGCAAAGUUAUGUGAUAUCCUAAGACGAAUGGUUGAAGACUGAAUUGUUUAUUGUACUUAGUUAUUUCCUUGAUCACUAUUUGCAGUAUCCUAUUUGUUAUGAUAUUAGACAAUUUCUAUGCAUGAGAAGGCACAUAUGACACCCAUUUGUUCUUUAUCAUAAGUAUUACCCUAUCUGUUGCAAACCAUUUGAGGAAAGUGAAGAUGCAGAAUUACAUCCUGUAUUCUAUGAUCCAUGUUGAUGGCUUAUUGGAGUGUUGAUCAUUUUUUGUACUACAUGUUGUAUUUUGAAGAUUCCCAACAAUAUUACAUUCACACCUUGUAGAUUAAUAGGUGUAAUGGAAACCAUCUCACAUUCUAGAGAAACAUUUUCAUUAUAUUUUCGUUUUAUCAUUCCCAUGUCACUUUUUGUCAGUAUCUCUCAUGAUGGAGAAGUAUAGUAGUCAAACUAAUAUUUUUCGUAACAGGAAGGAAACACCUGCCCAGUUUUUAAAUUCUGUUAUCUGACAUUGAGCACACAUGGAUCAUAUGAUGGAUGAACUUGAGUUUAUUUACUGUAAAUAAAAACACUCACUGGGCAUGCAAGGGGUGGGGUGGUAUAGAAUUUAGCCUUCAUCAUUUAUUCACUGGAGAUCUGUUCACAGUUAUUGAUAAAAUGCAUGUAUAUAAAUUGAGAUAUCACAGGUCAUUAUGUAUAGCAUUUUUAUCUCCAGGAAGGACGUGUUAAUCGUCGUCUUUUUUGUCGAGCAGAUUAUUCAUUUUUUUCUGUAAGGCUUAUUUUAUGUUGUGUAGACUGAUAUUUAUGAAUCAUUUAUCCUGCUCACUUUUUAUAAUUUUUGUACUAAGUUUACACUGUACAUGUAUUAUAAAAUUCAACACAUAACAGCACUUGUGUGCAGCUUAUAUUUUUGAAAUGAGGGAUUUAGAACAUAUGUGUAGUAGCAUAUCCACCGAGAUACUGCGUACUAGUAAAUAUUUAUGCAGAUGAUGUGGAGGGUAAAAAAUGGAAAAGUUCAAUUCAGCGUAUGCAUUCACUGGCUGCAAGAAACAGGAUAAGUAUGGGUAAGGGCUACACAGUUGGAUAUUCCUUUGCAGACAUAUACUCCUAACAUUUCCAUCACAAUUCACCCUAAAAAGUUAGUGUGGAGACCUAGCAAAAUAAUAUUUUCUACUGAAUAGUGACUACCGUAAUUUAUUCAAAGAAAGAAAUCUCUUCUUUAACAGAUAAUUCUCCCAUUCGAGAUCAUUUGGGCAAAUUAGACUCAGACUAUUUCCCACUUCAAGGUUUAUCAGAGACUCAGAGACGCUGUGUAUGAACCAUGAAAUGCUCUUAUGCUUAAUGAUAAAUCAGCCGAUCCGUAGUUUCAUUGUGAAAGCACAGAAUGGUGUUGCAAAUGGUCCUGAACAAUGUUGUCAAUGUCGCACUAAUGUUAUGAUCAGUCACAUAUAGUGUUUUUUUUGCCCUUCAUAGUGUAAAUUCUUUUUAGUCAAAUUGUAUUUACAUGCAUCUGAAACCAUGUCAUUCCUUUACUAUUCAUAUUAUAAUUGUACACACUUGUGCUGUCUGACUGGUCUGAUAUUUUGAUGAUUUAAGUAUUAAAUUGUUUGUUUCCUA